rnacentral:tRNA from 1 species
UCCCCUGUGGCUCAGUUGGUAGAGCAUGGUGUGUGCAACGCCGGGUUGUGGGUUCAAUUCCCACGGGGGGCC